ACCAUUUAGUGGGGAAUAACUGUUGGAAACGACAGCUAAUACCGCAUAAUAUUGCUGGAUAAUUUCCAGUAAUGAAAGGAGCUUUCAAGCUCCGCUGAUUGAUGAGGAUGCGGCGCAUUAGCUAGUUGGUAGGGUAAUGGCCUACCAAGGCAAUGAUGCGUAGCCGAUCUGAGAGGAUGAACGGCCACAUUGGGACUGAGACACGGCCCAAACUUCUACGGAAGGCAGCAGUAGGGAAUUUUUCACAAUGGGCGAAAGCCUGAUGGAGCAAUGCCGCGUGACUGAUGAAGGUCCUCGGAUUGUAAAGGUCUGUUGUAAGGGAAGAAAUGGUAAAACAGGAAAUGGUUUUAUCUAUGACGGUACCUUACCAGAAAGCCACGGCUAACUAUGUGCCAGCAGCCGCGGUAAUACAUAGGUGGCAAGCGUUAUCCGGAUUUAUUGGGCGUAAAGGGUGCGUAGACGGUUUUGCAGGUCUGAGGUUAAAUUUAGGAGCUCAACUCCUAAUCGCCUUGGAAACUACAAGACUAGAGUAUANGAGAGGUUAGUGGAAUUCCAUGUGUAGCGGUGGAAUGUGUAGAUAUAUGGAGGAACACCAGUGGCGA
rnacentral:rRNA from 1 species